UGCAAGUCGAGCGGAAACGAAGGUAGCUUGCUACCAGGCGUCGAGCGGCGGACGGGUGAGUAACGCGUAGGAAUCUGCCUAGUAGAGGGGGACAACAUGUGGAAACGCAUGCUAAUACCGCAUACGCCCUGAGGGGGAAAGGAGGGGAUCACUUGUGACCUUCCGCUAUUAGAUGAGCCUGCGUGAGAUUAGCUAGUUGGUAGGGUAAAGGCCUACCAAGGCGACGAUCUCUAACUGGUCUGAGAGGAUGACCAGUCACACUGGGACUGAGACACGGCCCAGACUCCUACGGGAGGCAGCAGUGGGGAAUAUUGGACAAUGGGCGCAAGCCUGAUCCAGCCAUGCCGCGUGUGUGAAGAAGGCCUUAGGGUUGUAAAGCACUUUCAGGGGUGAGGAAGGGUGAGUCGCUAAUAUCGACUUAUCUUGACGUUAGCCCCAGAAGAAGCACCGGCUAACUCUGUGCCAGCAGCCGCGGUAAUACAGAGGGUGCAAGCGUUAAUCGGAAUUACUGGGCGUAAAGCGCGCGUAGGUGGUUUGUUAAGUCUGAUGUGAAAUCCCAGGGCUCAACCUUGGAAUGGCACCGGAUACUGGCUAGCUAGAGUAUGGUAGAGGGGUGUGGAAUUUCCUGUGUAGCGGU
rnacentral:rRNA from 1 species